GAUGAACGCUGGCGGCGUGCCUAAUACAUGCAAGUCGAGCGAACAGAUGAGGCGCUUGCUCCUCUGACGUUAGCGGCGGACGGGUGAGUAACACGUGGAUAACCUACCUAUACGACUGGGCUAACUUCGGGACACCGGAGCUAAUACCGGAUAAUAUAUUGAACCGCAUGGUUCAAUAGUGAAAGACGGUUUUGCAGUUACUUAUAGAUGGAUCCGCGCCGCAUUAGCUAGUUGGUAAGGUAACGGCUUACCAAGGCAACGAUGCGUAGCCGACCUGGGAGGAGCUCCUGCCACACCGGAACUGACACACGUGCCAAACUCCUACAGGAGACAGCAGUAGUGAAUCUUCCGCAAUGUGCGAAUUCCUGACGGUGCAACGCCGCGUGAGUGAUGAAGGUCUACUUAUCGUAAAACUCUGUUAUUAGGGUAGGAAAAAUGUGGAAGUGACUAUACGCGGCAUGGCGGUUCUUAUGCAGAAUAGCACAGCUAACUACGUG
rnacentral:rRNA from 1 species